UUAAGCGACUAAGCGUACACGGUGGAUGCCCUGGCAGUCAGAGGCGAUGAAGGACGUGCUAAUCUGCGAAAAGCGUCGGUAAGGUGAUAUGAACCGUUACAGCCGGCGAUGUCCGAAUGGGGAAACCCAGUGUGAUUCGUCACACUAUCGUUAACUGAAUACAUAGGUUAACGAGGCGAACCGGGGGAACUGAAACAUCUAAGUACCCCGAGGAAAAGAAAUCAACCGAGAUUCCCCCAGUAGCGGCGAGCGAACGGGGAGCAGCCCAGAGUCUGAAUCAGCUUGUGUGUUAGUGGAACGGUCUGGAAAGUCCGACGGUACAGGGUGAUAGUCCCGUACACCAAAAUGCACAGGUUGUGAACUCGAAGAGUAGGGCGGGACACGUGGUAUCCUGUCUGAAUAUGGGGGGACCAUCCUCCAAGGCUAAAUACUCCUGACUGACCGAUAGUGAACCAGUACCGUGAGGGAAAGGCGAAAAGAACCCCGGCGAGGGGAGUGAAAAAGAACCUGAAACCGUGUACGUACAAGCAGUGGGAGCACCUUCGGGUGUGACUGCGUACCUUUUGUAUAAUGGGUCAGCGACUUAUAUUCUGUAGCAAGGUUAACCGUAUAGGGGAGCCGCAGGGAAACCGAGUCUUAACUGGGCGUUAAGUUGCAGGGUAUAGACCCGAAACCCGGUGAUCUAGCCAUGGGCAGGUUGAAGGUUGGGUAACACUAACUGGAGGACCGAACCGACUAAUGUUGAAAAAUUAGCGGAUGACUUGUGGCUGGGGGUGAAAGGCCAAUCAAACCGGGAGAUAGCUGGUUCUCCCCGAAAGCUAUUUAGGUAGCGCCUCGUGAACUCAUCUUCGGGGGUAGAGCACUGUUUCGGCUAGGGGGUCAUCCCGACUUACCAACCCGAUGCAAACUACGAAUACCGAAGAAUGUUAUCACGGGAGACACACGGCGGGUGCUAACGUCCGUCGUGAAGAGGGAAACAACCCAGACCGCCAGCUAAGGUCCCAAAGUCAUGGUUAAGUGGGAAACGAUGUGGGAAGGCACAGACAGCCAGGAUGUUGGCUUAGAAGCAGCCAUCAUUUAAAGAAAGCGUAAUAGCUCACUGGUCGAGUCGGCCUGCGCGGAAGAUGUAACGGGGCUAAACCAUGCACCGAAGCUGCGGCAGCGACACUAUGUGUUGUUGGGUAGGGGAGCGUUCUGUAAGCCUGCGAAGGUGUGCUGUGAGGCAUGCUGGAGGUAUCAGAAGUGCGAAUGCUGACAUAAGUAACGAUAAAGCGGGUGAAAAGCCCGCUCGCCGGAAGACCAAGGGUUCCUGUCCAACGUUAAUCGGGGCAGGGUGAGUCGACCCCUAAGGCGAGGCCGAAAGGCGUAGUCGAUGGGAAACAGGUUAAUAUUCCUGUACUUGGUGUUACUGCGAAGGGGGGACGGAGAAGGCUAUGUUAGCCGGGCGACGGUUGUCCCGGUUUAAGCAUGUAGGCUGGUUAUCCAGGCAAAUCCGGAUAAUCAAGGCUGAGGUGUGAUGACGAGGCACUACGGUGCUGAAGUAACAAAUGCCCUGCUUCCAGGAAAAGCCUCUAAGCAUCAGGUAACAUCAAAUCGUACCCCAAACCGACACAGGUGGUCAGGUAGAGAAUACCAAGGCGCUUGAGAGAACUCGGGUGAAGGAACUAGGCAAAAUGGUGCCGUAACUUCGGGAGAAGGCACGCUGGUGUGUAGGUGAAGUCCCUGCGGAUGGAGCUGAGACCAGUCGAAGAUACCAGCUGGCUGCAACUGUUUAUUAAAAACACAGCACUGUGCAAACACGAAAGUGGACGUAUACGGUGUGACGCCUGCCCGGUGCCGGAAGGUUAAUUGAUGGGGUUAUCCGUAAGGAGAAGCUCUUGAUCGAAGCCCCGGUAAACGGCGGCCGUAACUAUAACGGUCCUAAGGUAGCGAAAUUCCUUGUCGGGUAAGUUCCGACCUGCACGAAUGGCGUAAUGAUGGCCAGGCUGUCUCCACCCGAGACUCAGUGAAAUUGAACUCGCUGUGAAGAUGCAGUGUACCCGCGGCAAGACGGAAAGACCCCGUGAACCUUUACUAUAGCUUGACACUGAACAUUGAGCCUUGAUGUGUAGGAUAGGUGGGAGGCUUUGAAGCGUGGACGCCAGUCUGCGUGGAGCCAACCUUGAAAUACCACCCUUUAAUGUUUGAUGUUCUAACGUUGGCCCCUGACCGGGGUUGCGGACAGUGUCUGGUGGGUAGUUUGACUGGGGCGGUCUCCUCCCAAAGCGUAACGGAGGAGCACGAAGGUUAGCUAAUCCUGGUCGGACAUCAGGAGGUUAGUGCAAUGGCAUAAGCUAGCUUGACUGCGAGCGUGACGGCGCGAGCAGGUGCGAAAGCAGGUCAUAGUGAUCCGGUGGUUCUGAAUGGAAGGGCCAUCGCUCAACGGAUAAAAGGUACUCCGGGGAUAACAGGCUGAUACCGCCCAAGAGUUCAUAUCGACGGCGGUGUUUGGCACCUCGAUGUCGGCUCAUCACAUCCUGGGGCUGAAGUAGGUCCCAAGGGUAUGGCUGUUCGCCAUUUAAAGUGGUACGCGAGCUGGGUUUAGAACGUCGUGAGACAGUUCGGUCCCUAUCUGCCGUGGGCGCUGGAGAAUUGAGGGGGGCUGCUCCUAGUACGAGAGGACCGGAGUGGACGCAUCACUGGUGUUCGGGUUGUCAUGCCAAUGGCACUGCCCGGUAGCUAAAUGCGGAAGAGAUAAGUGCUGAAAGCAUCUAAGCACGAAACUUGCCCCGAGAUGAGUUCUCCCUGAGACUUUAAGUCUCCUGAAGGAACGUUGAAGACGACGACGUUGAUAGGCCGGGUGUGUAAGCGCAGCGAUGCGUUGAGCUAACCGGUACUAAUGAACCGUGAGGCUUAACCUU
rnacentral:rRNA from 1 species